GAGAUAUUGUACACACACUGUACACACACGCAGUGAGCCCCAAAGCCUCAGAUGUUCUCCCAAGGACCCAAAUUCAAUCAGGAAUGAGCUUUUUUCCCAGCCAUUCCCAGGAGUUCUAUAGUUGCCAUGGUGCCAAGUGGCAGCCUAGGCAGAGAGCUCAACGACCCAAUAGGAAGCUAUGUAUGUAGAGUUGGCAGUGUGCCAGGGGUUUCAUUGCUCAGGAGGAUACUUCUGAAGUAAGGACUGAGUGAGCUGUGCUUUUCGGGGAACAAACUUCACCACAGAGUCUCAAUACAGAGAAGACAGCAGAGAG
rnacentral:lncRNA from 1 species